rnacentral:rRNA from 1 species
CCUACGGGUGGCAGCAGUGGGGAAUAUUGCACAAUGGGGGAAACCCUGAUGCAGCAACGCCGCGUGGGUGAAGGAGCGUUUCGGCGCGUAAAGCCCUGUCAGCGGGGAAGAAGAAAGACGGUACCCGACCAAGAAGCCCCGGCUAACUACGUGCCGGCAGCCGCGGUAAUACGUAGGGGGCGAGCGUUAUCCGGAAUUACUGGGUGUAACGGGAGCGUAGACGGCGAGGUAAGCCUGUAGUGGAAGCCCGCGGCCCAACGGCGGAACUGCUUGGGGGACUGUUUUGCUGGAGGAUGGUAGCGGUAAGGAGCAGUCCUGGUGUAGCGGUGAAAGGCGUAGAUAUCAGGAGGAAGACCGGUAGAGAAGGCGGCGAACUGGACGGUAACGGACGUGGAGGUUCGAAAGCGUGGGGAGCGAACAGGAUUAGAUACCCAAGUAGUC